AAAUAGUUAUGUUCCUGAUCGAAAAUUUAAUGCAAGCAAGAGAAUAAGAAGAAACGUGUGUCGACGAACCCUCCUCUUCCUCCUCAGCGCUCUUCACCUCGUCGACCACCCCUAUGGAAAAUCAACAAACGAAAACACCUGUCGUUCCCAUAGAUUUUCGCACCUGUCUUCUCCGUUUCCAUCUUGCGCCAGCUAUCGGCGAUCUCCGCAACGCAAGGUCAAUGACUUGUCAAAUAAUCAUUUCCAAUUGUUGUAGUGCGAUUGACAUUAAUAGAUGGCGUCUACGAAUUAUGACCGAUUGUAUGCAACCUAUUAUUAUCGGAUGAAGCUGUCGGUUUGUUUCUUACGAUGAAUGCGGACAAAAUGUACGUAAUAAUCGUCGGGAGAAACCGCAUUAAAGGUGAAGUGGAGUAUCAACAAGCCGGAGCAUUUACGAGCGCAGUAAAACAUCGCAAAUUACGAUCUCGGUUCGGCUUGCUCAGUCUGCGCGGCGUUCCUUCCUUCCUUCUGCAGAUGAUCAUGAGCACGAUGAUCAGAGGACACUUGUUUUAUACGAAUUCUGGGAGGCGGCGGCGGCGGUGGCGAUGAUGAAGACGUCGUCGUCGGUGGCUGUUGGCCGACCCAAGGUUUCUAUAUUUAGUUAUCUCAUUAAAAAUAUCUUUUGCAGUGGGUCAAGGGGCCGCGAGCCUCCACCUCCGACUGUCGCCUCUCCGUCUGUCCCACAAGCACUCCUUGCGUAAUUUCAAGAUGCUCUUCUCACCAACAAUUAUAGCCAUCUUUCAUAUUUUCGGCAUUUACCCAACAAAA